GACAGAGGGUGCAAACGUUGUUCGGAAUUACUGGGCGUAAAGCGCAUGUAGGCGGCCAAGCAGGUCGGAUGUGAAAUCCCUCGGCUCAACCAAGGAAGUGCAUUCGAAACCGCAUGGCUGGAGUCCCGGAGAGGAAGGUGGAAUUCUCGGUGUAGAGGUGAAAUUCGUAGAUAUCGAGAGGAACACCGGUGGCGAAGGCGGCCUUCUGGACGAGGACUGACGCUGAGAUGCGAAAGCGUGGGGAGCAAACAGG
rnacentral:rRNA from 1 species